AACGUAGGAGACAAACGUUAUCCGGAGUUACUGGGCGUAAAGGGCGUGUAGGUGGUAAUGUAAGUCUGGCGUGAAAUUUUUCGGCUUAACCGGGAAAGGUCGUCGGAGACUGCAUAACUAGAGGACGGUAGAGGCGUGUGGAAUUCCGGGUGUAGUGGUGAAAUGCGUAGAGAUCCGGAGGAACACCAGUGGCGAAGGCGACACGCUGGGCCGUACCUGACACUGAUGCGCGACAGCAUGGGGAGCAAACAGG
rnacentral:rRNA from 1 species